rnacentral:tRNA from 1 species
GGGGUUGUGGCUCAGUGGUAGAGCACUCACCUCCCAUGUGCGAGACCCUGGGUUCAAUUCUCAACACCACA